ACACCUACCUAGCAGGGUCGAGAUACCAUGAUCAUGAAGGUGAUUUUCCCAGAGCGAGGUUUAUUCACUGUGCUCNGAAUGUUCUGAUCCCCAAAACAGGAAGCUUGACUGCAUAAUUUGUGAUAGAGGGGGACUGCACCCUGA
rnacentral:snRNA from 11 species